rnacentral:lncRNA from 1 species
AGAUGAAGACCCAACAGCCAUUUUCCUGAUUGACCGAAGAGGGUAUCCCGCCCUAUUUGUCUUCGGGAUCAUGGUCGAAGCAGAGUAGAUGAAGACCCAACAACCAUUUUCCUGAUUGACCGAAGAUGGUAUUCUGCCCUAUUGGUCUUCGGGAUUAUGGUCGGAGUAGAUCCAGAAGCCAUAUUCCUAAGAAUCCACUGAGGGCACACCGCCCUGUAGACACUUGUCUUCGGAGAUGCCCGUUUAAGGCUGUCAGGUUCAGAUUCAGCACACAAAAUGCACCCAUAUUCCUAAGCAUCCGAAGAAGGUACCUCAUCCUAGGGGUUCUCGGGACUAUGGCGCAGGCAGACAAAAGAGCAGCACAGGAGGAUAUUCACCCGAGAAUACAAAAAAGGCACUCUGCCCUGAGUGUUCUCGCCGCAGCGAAAGACUCGUCAGCAAAGUAGAUCUAUAAGCCGCACUCCUGGAAAUCCGAACACUUCGGUAAACAUUUCCAAGGUCGGUUGACAUUGUGGUCGGACAAUUCUUUUCUGAAGCUAAUAAUAGUUAAAGAGAAGCUGAGGAGUCCGACAAAGCCGUUGCAGUUCUUCAGCAGAAGCAGAGUUCGUGGACAUUGCAUGCAGAUGGAUAUUCUAUUUCAGACAUCAGUACAACAGGCUAUCAAGAGGUCGAUCGCAAUAACAAUUCCACCGCCGAUGCAUUAUCGAAGUUGGCCACUACAGAUGCUUAUAACUUUGAUGACAGAUGGCGUCUUU